UGGGGAAUUUUGCACAAAGGGGGGAAACCCUGAUGCAGCGACGCCGCGUGAUUUAGAAGGCCUUCGGGUUGUAAAAAUCUUUUCUAUGGGAAGAAAAUGACAGUACCAUAGGAAUAAGGACCGGCUAAUUACGUGCCAGCAGCCGCGGUAAUACGUAAGGUCCGAGCGUUGUCCGGAAUCAUUGGGCGUAAAGGGUACGUAGGCGGGUAAGCAAGUUAGAAGUGAAAUCCUAUAGCUCAACUAUAGUAAGCUUUUAAAACUGCUCAUCUUGCGGUAUGGAAGGGAAGGUGGAAUUCCUAGUGUAGCGGUGAAAUGCGCAGAUAUUAGGAGGAAUACCGGUGGCGAAGGCGACUUUCUGGCCAUAACCUGACGCUGAGGUACGAAAGCGUGGGUAGCAAACAGG
rnacentral:rRNA from 1 species